GGCAACCGGCUGACCAAUCACCGCCUGCCUCAUCAGCACUCCCCAGCUUCCCGCCGCCCGGCUUCCCGCCCAGCGGUUUAAACUGACCAACCGUUGCCCACCACCUCGGCUCUCCCGGCCUUCCCACUCCCUCUGCCCUUCAGCCCCCUAUAAAAGAACCCUGCUCCUCUGAGCCCGCGCGGCCAUUUUCCUAUUCUUCCCGGUUGGUCCGUCCGGAGGCUCUUUCCUCUCAAUAAAGCCUGAACUUGAGACUUUCUUCUAACCUGCGAUCCGGUUUUUUUCCUAACGAGCUCUGUCCUCCCGCAGAGGAAAAGGCCUACCUGGAGUAGGAUUCAGAGAGUACAGUCCAAGGAAAGAAGCUUACCCUGUCUGGACAGCCUUCAAGGAGGUCCCCUCACUGGUCUAAGGAGUGAAAGUUGACAAAAUGCAGAAGUUGGCUCUGACCAUCACUACUCUAAGUCUUGGUCCUUUGAGCCAACUAGUGACUCAUUUGCAAAUGACUAGGUGUGAACAGGCAAGUUAUGUGAUAUUUUAUCUAUGUCAACAAGCACAAUUACAACAGCUGCUAUGACAAAGAUGUAGUCUACACAACAAAGCUAUUUUUGCAGUCUUCAGAGACUAUGUGUUCUUAAUCUAGCAUCUUUGAAAUCAUACAACUGACUUUUCACAAAGGAUAUUUUCUAAUUCCUGGUCUGGGUUACAAUCACUCUUUAUCAUGAAAAACUGUGUAUUUUGUGUAACUGCCUGCAACUGAAGGGGUAGGGGUGAGUUAAGCCUUUAUCACUCCUUUGUGUCCUACCGAGUAGCAAUUAGCCUCUUAUUCCUUUUUUCUUCAAACAGAAUUAAACAAAACAGAAGAGUGAGACAGGAAGAGGUUGGAGUCACACAUGCAGGAUGCUGCAUUUACUUGCUAAUUUACCUUUUAAUCCAGCAAGCUGAGAAAGUGCUUUCCCAAACCACAUACCCCUGAAGGCCCAUUCCAUCUCAAUUAGUCCAGACACAUUACUCACAGAUGAGGACCCAGAAAUUCAGAAAGGUGGGAAGGCUUCCACAAAAUCCCAGAAAUCAAGGGAGAGUGAGGUUUAGCGCUUCAUUCUCACAUUCUUAGACAACAGUUCUCACUGGGUAUGUUUCAGAUUUAUCCCAUGACCUUAAACCAUGUUGGUCCCAGGUUUUUUUAAAUGAUGGCUUUUUAUGUUAUUGUUAAGGUUGGAUUUAUUCUCUUGAUCACUGGUACUAAUUAUAAACACAGAAGAGUAUAACAAUCUAGUUAAUAAUUAUAAUUUUUAAAAAACCCUCAGUGGCUCGGAUUUUCUUUGAUUUCUGGGAAUAGUGCCACCCAUGACAACGGAUUGGAAUCACUUACAUUUAUACUUAUUUUCAAAAUCCAGAUGUUUCACAGGUACAUUUGAGAUUUGUUACAACAUAUAAAGUGAAAUCUGUGAAUCCGCAAUGAUAACCAGAUUAAUAAUUGCCUUGCUCAUGCAUUCAACACAUAUUUACUGAGCUCCUCACCACAGCUCACCUGCACUUAGGAGUACUCCCAAUUGCGCUGCAGAAACUGUAACAAUGCCAGUCUUCCAACUGCCUUAUCUCAAUCAUGUUAACAGCACAUUCUGCUAAACUUACUUUCCCACUAUGAUUCAUCUGGAGAAAGGUGAUUUUAGGAUAACUUUCAUUUUCUCCAGUGUGGGUGAAGAGAAAGAGAGCAAACUUUGUUUUAUUGUAGAAAACUCACUGGUUUGACACCCAUCAAGAAGUAACUUUACUUUUUAUUUUCAGAAAUAUCAGUUUCCUUAUUCCUAUUCCUUUUUUUUUUUGGACAGAGUCACACUCUGUAACCCUGGCUGGAGUGCAGUGGGGCAAUCUUGGCUCACUGCAAUCUACCUCAGCCUCCCAAGUAACUGGGAUUACAGUCGUGCGCCAACACACCUGGCUAAUUUUUUUUUUUUGUAUUUUUAGUAGAGAGGGGGUUUCACCAGGUUGGCCAGGCUGGUCUCAAACUCCUGACUUCAAGUGAUCCGCCCACCUCGGCCUCCCAAAGUGUUGGGAUUACAGGCGUGAGACACUGUGCCCAGCCCCUUCUUCCUCUUUAAUUUUCUUAAGUAUAAGCUACUAUUACCUAGAAAUCCUGAACUGGGUGAUGUGCACACUUUAAGUAUUCUAAUAGUUAACAAUAUUCCAAGACAGUUUCUUCAUACUGUCCAGAAUGUGAUUAUACAUAUUUGGAUGUUUGAUCUCCUGUUAUGUAGAAUCUUAGAAAAGUAAAGCAGGGUUUCAGCCUUGCAGAGCAGAGUUUAAUUUUGCUAAGGCUACUAACAGUAUAAAGAAAAUUGGCUACCUGGGAAUUUCCUCCCUGCAUAAAAUUUAAAAAUGCAUCUUUUAAGAGGACUUCUUAGUACAAAGUUAAGGCAGUGUUCUUAUUUUGCAUGGGAUCAGCCUUGUUUGCAGUUUUGAAUGACAAGUCCACAAACUGAAAGGUUUGGUUAAUAAACCGUAAACCCCAACAUCUCUUUAUUAGCGCUGAAAGAGUCGAGUGAUCUCAAUUACAUGGAACAGAGAAUUGAGGCAAUUAUCCAAUCAUUCAAGUCCAGGAAAAAAAAAUCUUUGGCUUGAAUUGUACAGAAAGUGCCCCAAUUUCCUAUUAAAACUUUAGAAGACCAACUCUGACAAAAGUCUUUCCUUUUAAAAUGUCUUAAGGGUAAAGCUAAUGAAGUCGCCACCAGAGUAUUGAGUUUUAUAUGUUGUUAGUAGUUUCCAGGUCACUUACUACAUUUUUUCCCCCAGGAAAUGAAUUCAGGAAUUUCUUUGAACACUUAGCUCCAGUGGAAAAUUAGUCUAAGCUUUUUUUUUAUUCCCAGGCAUGCAUUCUUUAUCGGAAUAGUAAGACACCUUUGGAACAGGGGCAGGUACUGUCUUUUGUUCAGGUUAAGGGGUAAACAAAAGGCACCAAAGGAAGGUAGAGGACAUUAAUCUACAGCUCAAAAUUCUUAUAUAGUUCAACAACUAAAAUUCUAACAGUGGGCUAUGUUUUCUUGGGAUUCUACACACAGGUGCCAUGUGAACAGCAGUUGGAAAAAGAAAGUACAAAAAGAGGUUAAAAGUAUGCUAGACAAAAAAAUGAGAAAAUGACAGAGGAGCCAGAGCCAGGUGAAAUGAAGAAGUAAAGCAAAAAUCCUUCGAAGACAAAGACAAUCAGCUUUCAAUUCUGUAGUCUGUUAGAUGAAAGGUGGGCCACUCCUGUGUCCUCAAAAUGAAGGGACAUUUCAAGUACUAGAAGGUACAUUCUCCUGGUAUUUUCCUAAGCCCAACCAGUUCUGAACCCUGCCCCCAACCCUCCCUGCAGUCCUAGCUCCAAGCCUGCAGCUUUGAAAUGCAAAGCUUUGAAAUGAAUGGCAUGCCUGGACAGAACACAUCCUGAAUCACAGUCUAUCGACUGGCAUUGCCCAAUGCUGUUUAUGCUUGUAUUUACCCAGGCUUCCACCCAGCCACAUAAAUUAUAAAUUCAUCUAUACACCCGCUGGGGAAUCCAAUGCACACAUUGCACGAAAGGGAGAAUAUGAAAUAUUUCCACGGGUAAACACAGGAUUUAAAUAAAGAUCUGGCUUACCUGGACAUUUAAAUGAAUACAAGGAUGUAACUCUUUCUGUAAAAACGUAUUGCCUUAGAAUCACUUCUUUUUUUUUAGGUCUAAUACCACUUUAGGAAAUGUUUUCAACGGCUACAUUUAGGUAUCUAAUGUCAUAAUAGAGCUCUCAUAGCAUUUUUGCCAACAAUUUCUGCAAUGCUUAAAAAAACGGAUCAGGGGUCAGUAAACUUUCCAUUAAGUCCAUUAAAUAAAUAUUUGAGGCUUUAUGAGCCAUGCAGUCUGUUACAAGUAUAAGACACUGCAGUUGUAGCAGAAAACAGCCACAAGAAAACAUAUAAACAAAUAUGUGGCCACGUUCCAAUAGAACUUUACAUAAGGACACAGAAAUUUGAAUUUCAGAUAAUUUUGACAUCAUGAAAUAUUUUGAUUUUUUUUCAACCAUUGUUACCUUGUGGGCCAGAUCUAGCCAAUUGUUUGAACCAUAGUAGACGGUUCAAAGAUAAACCCUGUUGCUGUCACAGCAAUAACCGAAGUGGUAGAGGGAUCAGGGAAAGGCAGUGCAAGGAGGCAAUAUUGUGAAGUUGCAUUAAUCAUGGUUUUUUUUCUGUAUCUUAUGAUGUUCUAAUAUCUUAUAAAUCUUGCUGGCAGGGAAGAGACUCCAGGACUAGUUAAUUCUUGCAGACAGCAAAGGACUGGGCCCCUGAGCAUACCCAACUAUUGCCAAGAACAUAGCCCCAACCUUCCCCUAUGGCUAACUCACACACACCAAGCCAAUAUAGAAAUUGUCCUAACUCACCCCAGGCACCAGGUACCCGCAAAUGGAGACCACCCCUCCAGCACAGACCCUGCUGGAAUUACUCAGACUUGCCAUCUGAAACUGUUGGCUUUGCUCUGCCUUGCCUCCCUACAGAAACCUGUCAAGGCCUAUCCUUUCUCUUUGCUCCUGCUUCUGUCCCCAACUGACACCAGUGCUUCCCCUGUGGCCUGGCAUGACAUGGCAUGUGCCCUUCCCUCUCAGGAAAUUGAGUAAUAUAAAGCUUUCAGUGGCAUUGUCCUGUGUCACCACUCAGCUACCCCAAUAAAUUAAAAUCUCAACAGGUAUCAUGAGACGGAAGUGCCUUCCUACUCUCAGCAGAUCCCAGGACCAGUAGCAUUAGCAUCCCCUGGGCCCCAUCUCAGACCAACAGAAUCUGCAUCUGCAUGUAAAAAAGAUUCCUGGGUUAUUUGCAAGGAUAUUGAAGUUUGAGAUGCUGUGAUGGUGUGAUUUAAAGCUUAGGGUUUGGAGUUAGAAGGUCCAUUUCAAAUAUUUGUGCCUCUCAUUAGCUAAGUGGCCUUGCACAAGUAAUUACUAAUGUAUAACCCUUUCCACCCCUAAUAAGUAGAGAUGAAUCUAUGCUAAACACUUAGAAAAUGCCUGGCAAAUGAUACAAUCAUUCAUUUUUAGAAAACAAAUGCCCAUGCACACACUGUUAAGGCAACUUCCUCAGAUACAUUCUUAGCCAGUUUCUUGAACUGAUCCACUGUGAUUAUAGUGCCCAUGCCCACCUCCAACAAUUCUAUCCAUAAAAGAAAAGAAAGACGCCACAACUCCUGGCUGCAGAGUGUAAAAUAUAUUGAUGGUUGUAAAGGGACAACUUGGGGAUAUUUUAGGUGUGCUGACAUGAUGCACAGCAUACAUACAUGCUCUAGUUUUUGGAACCAUGUCGUUAAGUUUUCCAAUACAUCUGUUUUGAACAUGGCAUUUUGUUUUUUUCAUUAGCACAAAUUACUACUCUACAGUUUCUCCUAGAGUAAAUAAAUAUAAUGGCUGUUUGCAGAGCGACUACAGACUUACUUAGAUGUUUAACAAGUGAACGAUUUCACAAUUAGAUAACCACUGAGUUAACAGCAAGGUGUUUUUCAUCUGUUUUGUUUACUGCUAUAGUGGGGGAUGGGUGGAAACUUUUCCAAUUUAUUCUUUGUUGACAUCUUUAGUUACCAACACAAACUCCUAAAAGUAAUGAAAAAUAAGUCAGUUAAAAAAAAUUAAAUUGUUAUUAAACCAUGGGUUUUCCCAAGAUCCUUAAAAUCAGCUCAUUUAAAUUUACAAGAGAAAAAAAGAUAGG